ensembl:snRNA
GUGUUGUUUGAAAGGAGAGAAGGUUAACACUCCCCUUGACAAGUGUGGAAGAGGCCCUUGGGCCUGACAACAUGCAUAUGGUUAAGGCAUUGCCUCCUACUUCAUGGAAUCGAACAAGUUUUGUUU